UACGAAGGGGGCUAGCGUUGUUCGGAAUUACUGGGCGUAAAGCGCACGCAGGCGGAUUGAUAAGUCCGCUGUGAAAGCCCCGGGCUCAACCUGGGAAUGGCAGUGGAAACUAGCGAGCUAGAGUGUGUCAGAGGGGGGGUGGAAUUCCACGUGUAGCAGUGAAAUGCGUAGAGAUGUGGAGGAACACCAAUGGCGAAGGCAGCCCCCUGGGAUAACACUGACGCUCAGGCACGAAAGCGUGGGGAGCAAACAGG
rnacentral:rRNA from 1 species